AAAUUGAAGAGUUUGAUCAUGGCUCAGAUUGAACGCUGGCGGCAGGCCUAACACAUGCAAGUCGAGCGGAAACGAGUUGUCWGAACCUUCGGGGAACGAUAACGGCGUCGAGCGGCGGACGGGUGAGUAAUGCCUAGGAAAUUGCCCUGAUGUGGGGGAUAACCAUUGGAAACGAUGGCUAAUACCGCAUGAUGCCUACGGGCCAAAGAGGGGGACCUUCGGGCCUCU
rnacentral:rRNA from 1 species